rnacentral:rRNA from 1 species
UACAGAGGGGGCAAGCGUUGUUCGGAAUUACUGGGCGUAAAGGGCGCGUAGGCGGCCUUCUAAGUCGAACGUGAAAUCCCUGGGCUCAACCCAGGAACUGCGUCCGAGACUGGGAGGCUAGAAUCCGGGAGAGGGAUGUGGAAUUCCAGGUGUAGCGGUGAAAUGCGUAGAUAUCUGGAGGAACAUCGGUGGUGAAGGCGGCAUCCUGGACCGGUAUUGACGCUGAGGCGCGAAAGCCAGGGGAGCAAACGGG